CUGGCGGCAGGCCUAACACAUGCAAGUCGAGCGAGACCUUCGGGUCUAGCGGCGGACGGGUUAGUAACGCGUGGGAACGUACCCUUUUCUACGGAAUAGCCUUUGGAAACGAAGAGUAAUACCGUAUACGCCCUUUGGGGGAAAGAUUUAUCGGAGAAGGAUCGGCCCGCGUUAGAUUAGAUAGUUGGUGGGGUAAUGGCCUACCAAGUCUACGAUCUAUAGCUGGUUUUAGAGGAUGAUCAGCAACACUGGGACUGAGACACGGCCCAGACUCCUACGGGAGGCAGCAGUGGGGAAUCUUAGACAAUGGGCGCAAGCCUGAUCUAGCCAUGCCGCGUGAGUGAAGAAGGCCUUAGGGUCGUAAAGCUCUUUCGCCUGUGAUGAUAAUGACAGUAGCAGGUAAAGAAACCCCGGCUAACUCCGUGCCAGCAGCCGCGGUAAUACGGAGGGGGUUAGCGUUGUUCGGAAUUACUGGGCGUAAAGCGCGCGUAGGCGGAUUGGAAAGUUGGGGGUGAAAUCCCGGGGCUCAACCCCGGAACUGCCUCCAAAACUGCCAGUCUAGAGUUCGAGAGAGGUGAGUGGAACUCCAAGUGUAGAGGUGAAAUUCGUAGAUAUUUGGAAGAACACCAGUGGCGAAGGCGGCUCACUGGCUCGAUACUGACGCUGAGGUGCGAAAGUGUGGGGAGCAAACAGGAUUAGAUACCCUGGUAGUCCACACCGUAAACGAUGAAUGCCAGUCGUCGGGUAGUAUACUAUUCGGUGACACACCUAACGGAUUAAGCAUUCCGCCUGGGGAGUACGGUCGCAAGAUUAAAACUCAAAGGAAUUGACGGGGCCCGCACAAGCGGUGGAGCAUGUGGUUUAAUUCGAAGC
rnacentral:rRNA from 1 species